rnacentral:rRNA from 1 species
UCGCCUACGGGGCGCAGCAGUGGGGGAUAUUGCACAAUGGGGGAAACCCUGAUGCAGCGACGCCGCGUGGGCGAAGAAGUAUUUCGGUAUGUAAAGCCCUAUCAGCAGGGAAGAAGAAAUGACGGUACCUGAGUAAGAAGCACCGGCUAAAUACGUGCCAGCAGCCGCGGUAAUACGUAUGGUGCAAGCGUUAUCCGGAUUUACUGGGUGUAAAGGGAGCGCAGGCGGCACGGCAAGCCUGAUGUGAAAGCCCGGGGCUCAACCGCGGGACUGCUUUUGAAACUGUGUAGCUAGAGUGCAGGAGG